rnacentral:rRNA from 1 species
GAUGAACGCUGGCGGCGUGCCUAAUACAUGCAAGUCGAGCGAACGGACGAGAAGCUUGCUUCUCUGAUGUUAGCGGCGGACGGGUGAGUAACACGUGGAUAACCUACCUAUAAGACUGGGAUAACUUCGGGAAACCGUAGCUAAUACCGGAUAAUAUUUUGAACCGCAUGGUUCAAAAGUGAAAGACGGUCUUGCUGUCACUUAUAGAUGGAUCCGCGCUGCAUUAGCUAGUUGGUAAGGUAACGGCUUACCAAGGCAACGAUGCAUAGCCGACCUGAGAGGGUGAUCGGCCACACUGGAACUGAGACAUGGUCCAGACUCCUACGGGAGGCAGCAGUAGGGAAUCUUCCGCAAUGGGCGAAAGCCUGACGGGGCAACGCCGCGUGAGUGAUGAAGGUCUUCGGAUCGUAAAACUCUGUUAUUAGGGAAGAACAUAUGUGUAAGUAACUGUGCACAUCUUGACGGUACCUAAUCAGAAAGCCACGGCUAACUACGUG